UCCAUCUCGCACCAGGAACCCCACCACAGACCGAGCAGCCAGAAAAACAAGGAGCCUACUUCCGCGUUCACCUUGCCCUAAACCCGCCCCAGUCUGGCCGCCUACGCAUGCGCGUUCCUCAUUGCCGGAAGCGGGCCUGGCGCCCUCUUCUUCCAACGCGCAGGCGCCGCCCGAAAGUCCACUGUCUCCGUGACAGCCGGCAGGCAGCUCGGCCACCACCGGGAAGCGGAGUAAGCUGGUCCGCCCGCCCCUGGGGAAAAGCCGGUUAGACAGGUUUCGUUGGAAGGAAAAGGCGUCAGCCUCGCCAGAAGUCACUAUCAAGUCCCAUUCCUCUCAGGUCCCAGCUUGGUCAUUGACUACUCUGAGAAGCUUGUCCUGAACUACCACGAGUGAGUGCGUCAGGUUGGGUUCCCUGAGAGACAGACUUGAAGACAGAUAACUCAGUGCAGCUUACUGGGGUGCUCUUGGGAAAACCCCGGUGUGAAUGAAA